rnacentral:rRNA from 1 species
AUUGAACGCUGGCGGCAUGCUUUACACAUGCAAGUCGAACGGGGUGAGGGGGCAACCUCUCAUCUAGUGGCGAACGGGUGAGUAAUGCAUCGGAACGUGUCCCGUAGUGGGGGAUAACCCGGCGAAAGCCGGACUAAUACCGCAUAUGCUCUACGGAGGAAAGUGGGGGACCGCAAUGGCCUCACGCUAUGGGAGCGGCCGAUGUCCGAUUAGCUUGUUGGUGAGGUAAGGCUCACCAAGGCGACGAUCGGUAGCUGGUCUGAGAGGAUGAUCAGCCACACUGGGACUGAGACACGGCCCAGACUCCUACGGAGGCAGCAGUGGGGAAUUUUGGACAAUGGGGGCAACCCUGAUCCAGCCAUGCCGCGUGC